UACGGAGGGUGCAAGCGUUGUUCGGAUUUACUGGGCUUAAAGGGCGUGUAGGCGGGUCGUCAAGUGUCUGGUGAAAGCCCCGGGCUCAACCCGGGAAGGGCUGGGCAUACUGGCGAUCUUGAGGUAGGUAGAGGUGACUGGAACAACGGGUGGAGCGGUGAAAUGCGUAGAUAUCCGUUGGAACGCCGGAGGCGAAAGCGGGUCACUGGGCCUGUCCUGACGCUGAGACGCGAAAGCGUGGGGAGCAAACGGG
rnacentral:rRNA from 1 species